rnacentral:rRNA from 1 species
UACGUAGGGUGCGAGCGUUGUCCGGAAUUACUGGGCGUAAAGAGCUCGUAGGUGGUUUGUCGCGUUGUUCGUGAAAACUCACAGCUUAACUGUGGGCGUGCGGGCGAUACGGGCAGACUGGAGUACUGCAGGGGAGACUGGAAUUCCUGGUGUAGCGGUGGAAUGCGCAGAUAUCAGGAGGAACACCGGUGGCGAAGGCGGGUCUCUGGGCCUUACCUGACGCUGAGACGCGAAAGCGUGGGGAGCGAAC